GCAAGUCGAACGAGAAAGUUUUCUUCGGAAAACGAGUACAGUGGCGCACGGGUGAGUAACGCGUGAAUAAUCUACCCCUGAAUUUGGGAUAACAGUUCGAAAGGGCUGCUAAUACCGGAUGACAUAACCCUUACCACGGUUUGGGUUAUCAAAGAGGGCCUCUCCUUGGAAGCUCUUGUUUGGGGAUGAGUUCGCGUACCAUUAGCUUGUUGGUGGGGUAACGGCCUACCGUGGCAACGAUGAAUAGCAGGCCUGAGAGGGUGGCC
rnacentral:rRNA from 1 species